AGCGAACGCUGGCGGCAGGCCUAACACAUGCAAGUCGAGCGCUCGUAGCAAUACGAGAGCGGCAGACGGGAGAGUAACACGUGGGAACGUACCCUUUGGUUCGGAACAACCCAGGGAAACUUGGGCUAAUACCGGAUAAGCCCUUACGGGGAAAGAUUUAUCGCCGAAGGAUCGGCCCGCGUCUGAUUAGCUAGUUGGUGGGGUAACGGCCCACCAAGGCGACGAUCAGUAGCUGGUCUGAGAGGAUGAUCAGCCUCACUGGGACUGAGACACGGCCCAGACUCCUACGGGAGGCAGCAGUGGGGAAUAUUGGACAAUGGGCGCAAGCCUGAUCCAGCCAUGCCGCGUGGGUGAUGAAGGCCCUAGGGUUGUAAAGCCCUUUCGGCGGGAAGAUAAUGACGGUACCCGCAGAAGAAGCCCCGGCUAACUUCGUGCCAGCAGCCGCCGUAAU
rnacentral:rRNA from 1 species